AGAGUUUGAUCAUGGCUCAGAAUGAACGCUGGCGGCAUGCCUAACACAUGCAAGUCGAACGAAGGCUUCGGCCUUAGUGGCGCACGGGUGCGUAACGCGUGGGAAUCUGCCCUCAGGUUCAGAAUAACAGCGAGAAAUUGCUGCUAAUACCGGAUGAUAUCGCGAGAUCAAAGAUUUAUCGCCUGAGGAUGAGCCCGCGUAGGAUUAGCUAGUUGGUGUGGUAAAGGCGCACCAAGGCGACGAUCCUUAGCUGGUCUGAGAGGAUGAUCAGCCACACUGGGACUGAGACACGGCCCAGACUCCUACGGGAGGCAGCAGUGGGGAAUAUUGGACAAUGGGCGAAAGCCUGAUCCAGCAAUGCCGCGUGAGUGAUGAAGGCCUUAGGGUUGUAAAGCUCUUUUACCCGGGAUGAUAAUGACAGUACCGGGAGAAUAAGCUCCGGCUAACUCCGUGCCAGCAGCCGCGGUAAUACGGAGGGAGCUAGCGUUAUUCGGAAUUACUGGGCGUAAAGCGCACGUAGGCGGCUUUGUAAGUUAGAGGUGAAAGCCUGGAGCUCAACUCCAGAAUUGCCUUUAAGACUGCAUCGCUUAAAUCCAGGAGAGGUGAGUGGAAUUCCGAGUGUAGAGGUGAAAUUCGUAGAUAUUCGGAAGAACACCAGUGGCGAAGGCGGCUCACUGGACUGGUAUUGACGCUGAGGUGCGAAAGCGUGNGGAGCAAACAGGAUUAGAUACCCUGGUAGUCCACGCCGUANACGAUGAUAACUAGCUGUCGGGGCUCUUAGAGCUUCGCUG
rnacentral:rRNA from 1 species